AGGCAGCAGUGGGGGAAUAUUGCACAAUGGGCGAAAGCCUGAUGCAGCAACGCGCGUGAGGGAUGACGGCCUUCGGGUUGUAAACCUCUUUAGCAGGGAAGAAGCGAAAGUGACGGUACCUGCAGAAAAAGCGCCGGCUAACUACGUGCCAGCAGCCGCGGUAAUACGUAGGGCGCAAGCGUUAUCCGGGAAUUAUUGGGCGUAAAGAGCUCGUAGGCGGUUUGUCGCGUCUGCUGUGAAAUCCCGAGGCUCAACCUCGGGCCUGCAGUGGGUACGGGCAGACUAGAGUGCGGUAGGGGAGAUUGGAAUUCCUGGUGUAGCGGUGGAAUGCGCAGAUAUCAGGAGGAACACCGAUGGCGAAGGCAGAUCUCUGGGCCGUAACUGACGCUGAGGAGCGAAAGGGUGGGGAGCAAACAGGCUUAGAUACCCUGGUAGUCCACCCCGUAAACGUUGGGAACUAGUUGUGGGGUCCAUUCCACGGAUUCCGUGACGCAGCUAACGCAUUAAGUUCCCCGCCUGGGGAGUACGGCCGCAAGGCUAAAACUCAAAGGAAUUGACGGGGACCCGCACAAGCGGCGGAGCAUGCGGAUUAAUUCGAUGCAACGCGAAGAACCUUACCAAGGCUUGACAUAUACGAGAACGGGCCAGAAAUGGUCAACUCUUUGGACACUCGUAAACAGGUGGUGCAUGGUUGUCGUCAGCUCGUGUCGUGAGAUGUUGGGUUAAGUCCCGCAACGAGCGCAACCCUCGUUCUAUGUUGCCAGCACGUAAUGGUGGGAACUCAUGGGAUACUGCCGGGGUCAACUCGGAGGAAGGUGGGGAUGACGUCAAAUCAUCAUGCCCCUUAUGUCUUGGGCUUCACGCAUGCUACAAUGGCCGGUACAAAGGGCUGCAAUACCGUGAGGUGGAGCGAAUCCCAAAAA
rnacentral:rRNA from 1 species